rnacentral:rRNA from 1 species
AGUCGAGAAUCUUCGGCAAUGGGCGCAAGCCCGACCGAGCGACGCCGCGUGGGGGACGAAGGCCCUCGGGUUGUAAACCCCUGUCGGGGGGGAGCAAGGGCCCGCGCAGAGCGGGCCUUGAGCGAUCCCCGGAGGAAGCACGGGCUAAGUUCGUGCCAGCAGCCGCGGUAAGACGAACCGUGCGAACGUUAUUCGGAAUCACUGGGCUUAAAGCGCGUGUAGGCGGGCGCGUGCGUCCGAUCGCUGAAAGCCCCCGGCUCAACCGGGGAAGCGGCGGGGAUACGGCGGGCCUGGAGGGGGGUAGGGGGGACGGGAACUCACGGUGGAGCGGUGAAAUGCGUUGAGAUCGUGAGGAACGCCCGCGGCGAAAGCGCGUCCCUGGACCCCGCCUGACGCUGAGACGCGAAAGCCAGGGGAGCGAA